AGUCACCAGUCACCACACGAAGCGGCGACGGCGCCACCGCGCCGGCGGAGGGGAAAACGACGUCUCGACGAGCGGUCAGCCCAAGCACGAGGGGCCCGCGGCGAGGCUGUUCAGGCAGGGGAGCGGCGAAGGUUAGGCCACCGCGCCGGAAGCCCGCAAGUAGCAAGUCGAAGCAACCUCGACAGUCUCAAAUCUGGACAGAGACUAGGCAUCGUAUGGGGAUUGCAACAACCAAACUGCCAGAGCCCAGAGUUGUCUGCAGAACAUCCUGAUGGAUAUAUUUGUUCUUCUGGAUAUCCCAUACCUCAUGCGCAUAGGCUCUUUCUGCACCUCCUGGAACUCCGCAAUACCAGCCUACGUAGCAUUGGGCAAUAGAAGCAUUGAAGCAGCCCCGAACACCAUGCCUCCUCUACAGGUCUGAAUCUGCUGGUGAGAAUGUUGUUUUGCCUCCAGAGCCUCACGGGAAAGAGGACAUACAAGUUAACUUUGUUAGAACCACACCUCUGCAGAAGGAAUCUGAUUGGGUCCUCGCGUGAGUCACUUCUGUUGAUGAGCAGUCUGGAAUGCACCCUGUCAAUCCGAUCACAAGUGAGCUUAUAGCUUUCCCAUUGGAGAUUGCCAUGGAGCAGGCAAGGCCCAUUUUUUGAUGGUGCAGGUGAAAAUUGUAAAUAUCAUUGCUCAGUUCACAUCAGAUGGUCUGUUGCUGAAUGGCUGCUUAAACCUUGCUCUUAGCAAGCUGCGGUACUAUCUCCAUCAUAAGACAUUUGUGUUUUAUGAUACAUCUGCAUAGAGCUAUAGUUUGGGUUUCCAUCCACAAUCCAUUUGGGCAGCUUUCAUUUGCUAGGUUAGGGGAUGAGAACUGGAGCUGGUGGCCAUCUCAAGCACAUUUACAGGAUUGCAGCUACAAGGUUGGCCUAUUAUACGGUGAAAUUAUUGCCAUCAAUCUCAGCAGCACUGUGGUCACGACUCAUGACAACUCAUGACAAAGGUAAUUGUGGAUUGGGUACAGUAACGAUAUGGGAGUAUACAUUGUUCAUGCUCCAUAGGGCGAUCUGCGUCAAGUCUGGGUAAAAGAAGAGCCAGCAUGGCAUGGGUUCCAGUCAUCUAUUGGACCAAACUUGGGUGGAUGAGAAUAUAUGAAGUUUGCACCAUGACCCAAAAAGCUAGUGGCGCCAUUCGGUUCGCUGACUUGGACUGGCUGAUUGGCUGGGCUGGCUGAUUUGAACUGUACCCGCUGGAUGGGCUGGCUGAUUUGAACUGUACCCGCUGGAUGGGAGACCGACGCCCAGGCUUAUCCUGAUCCACCAGCCGUUCGGUGGCCUCGGCUGGGCUGAUCAGCCCAGCCAUACCAGCCCAGCCGGCGAUUCUCCAGCAAGCUGAACAGGCUGAGUGAAGAUAAAUAGCCUAGAUUGCUAUAUGUUGUUUCUCGGGAGUAACCGAGCACUUUGUUCCUCUGCUGGGACUAAUUGGAGUCCUCUACAGAAACAAUAGGGGGUUGCCUUGGUCUGUUGCUGAUCUUUUCGAAUCUCAGAAAAAUGGAUUUGGCACUGAACAACUAGGUAUACUUGGUAUUCAAGUAUUUUUGAGCGAGAUAAUUAUUCUGUAAUGCAAUUGUGGCAGGUCCGGAACCAUGCCUCAAGUGAUUGAUCCUUUGCAUGCAGAACUGGAAGCAUGUAUACUUGAGGUGAAAAUGGCAGUAGCCCAUGCUAUGUGAAACAAUCAGCAAGAGACAGAUAGGACUCGGGUAUUCCUUGAUUCCAAAUAUUGAAGCAAUGAAACUUGAGGUUACAGGUUUGAUACUCAAUACCUACUCCAUUUGGGAAAUGAUGACUAUGAUCUGGCAGACUGUUGUGGACGGGAUUGGGAACUAGGGGGCGGACUAUGAUAAAUGGGAACUACAGAACCAUAUGGUAAAUGGGAACUACAGAACCACGGGAGCUUUCGAUCAUGAACUUGUUUAGUUUUUCUGUCAUUAUAGCCAUUGUGAAUGUAAUAGGUUGAUCUGCAUGGUUGAUCCGGUGUUUGUGGGGAUUAUGCUUUCAAAGAAAGCACUCCAACAUUGUUGCCGAUCAGGCAGCCGGUGGAACUAAAUUUGAUAAUUUCAUUUUUUUUCUAAGUAA